GAUGAACGCUGGCGGCGUGCCUAAUACAUGCAAGUCGAGCGAACAGACGAGGAGCUUGCUCCUCUGACGUUAGCGGCGGACGGGUGAGUAACACGUGGAUAACCUACCUAUAAGACUGGGAUAACUUCGGGAAACCGGAGCUAAUACCGGAUAAUAUAUUGAACCGCAUGGUUCAAUAGUGAAAGACGGUUUUGCUGUCACUUAUAGAUGGAUCCGCGCCGCCUUAGCUAGUUGGUAAGGUAACGGCUUACCAAGGCGACGAUGCGUAGCCGACCGGAGAGGGGGAUCGCCCACCCUGGAGGUGAGACACGGUCCAGACUCCUACGGGAGGCAGCAGUAGCGAAUCUUCCGCAAUGGGCGAAAGCAUGACGGAGCAACGCCGCGUGAGUGAUGACGGUCUUCGGAUCGUAAAGCUCUGUUAUUAGGGAAGAACAAAUGUGUAAGUAACUAUGCACGUCUUGACGGUACCUAAUCAGAAAGCCACGGCUAACUACGUG
rnacentral:rRNA from 1 species